AAGAAUAUGAGGAACAGUACUCAGAGGCCAGACUUCUGGGGCAGACCUUCCGCUCUUCUGUUGAGGCCCCUGAGCCCACCCCCAGCCCAAGGCUCCAGUCUGCCAGGCGUCUGGAGUUUGUGUUGAUGCCUACAAAACAGCAGCUGAGUGAGGAUGAGACUACCACCCAGGGUGUGAGGGCCCCUGAGGCUGCCCUGAGCCUGUCUACAACCAACAAGCAAAUUGCCUGGAAUGGCCCCUUCCCUCUGCCCAUCCUAGAAGAGAAGCGGUGGCCUCAGCCCUGCUCCACGCAGUCUGACCUUGUGCCCAUCAACAUCUCUGGGCAGCAGUUUGAUAAACACGCAAGUUUGCGACACUCGUUGUUUAACACAGAGACAGCCGUGAACCCCAAGUCCACCCUGAGGCGGAGGAGGACCAUUAUUGGAUUCUCUAACUAUUCCCAGCGAGACCAAGGUGACCUCACCACAGCUGAUCCACCGGACCCUUCCCCUUACCCACUCCUACAAAUCCUGCCACACACAUGGCACUGUGGUGAUGAAGAACAAGAACAAUUCAGGGGGAUGGGGCUUUGGAAUGUCCUGAAGAAGCCAGUAUGGUGAUUAGGGUUGCCUCCUGUCAAGGGAAACAAAUGGUGAAGAGCAGGAUUCUGGGGCUAAUAAAUU
rnacentral:lncRNA from 1 species